rnacentral:antisense_RNA from 2 species
CUUGAUCGAGCCCAACCGGAGCGGCCGGUCGGCGGAGUGCGCCCGCCCGUAGGUGGCGAUGAGCGCCUGCGCCUC